rnacentral:lncRNA from 1 species
ACUCUGAGUAGGUAACAGGUACCAGCUACUGUCAGCAGGGAGGAAGGUAUGUGGUGACCACGAGUCCAGACCUGAGGGUCCUGACCCUCUAAUGCGGCCUCUCACCAGUGUUCGCAGAAACCCACCCGCUGAUUCAAUACGGGGACCAGGAACCUGCCAUGACAGUCACGACUCAGUCUGCCUGCACCUACAUGAUUAAAAAGCUUUAUUGCUCACACAAAGCCUGUUUGGUGGUCUCUUCAUAUGGAUGCGCAUAACAUUUGGUGCCGAAGACCCCGGACAGGGUGACUCCUUCGGGAGAUUGGUCCCCUCUCCUCACCCUCACUCCAUGAGAAGAUCCACCUACGACCUCAGGUCCUCAGACCAGCCCAAGGAACAUCUCACCAAUUUCAAACCGGAAGACAGGAAUGUCAGGCCUCUGAGCCCGAGCUAAGCCAUCAUAUCCCCUGUGACCUGCGCUUAUACAUCCAGAUGGCCUGAAGCAACUGAAGAACCACAAAGAAGUGAAAAUACCCAGUUCCUGCCUUAACUGAUGACAUUCCACCAUUGUAAUUUGUUCCUGCCCCACCCUAACUGAUCAGUUGACCUUGUGACAUUCCUUCUCCUGGACAAUAAAUCUCAGGAGCUCCCCACUGAGCACCUUGUGACCCCCGCCUGUACCCGCAAGAGGACAACCCCCUUUAACUGUAAUUUUCCACUACCUACACAAAUCCUAUAAAACCGCCCCAUCCCUAUCUCCCUUUGCUGACUCUUUUUUCAGACUCAGUCUGCCUGCACCCACAUGAUUAAAAAGCUUAAUUGCUCACACAAA